CCUAUGGGAGGUUCAUAAUGUUUUGGAAUGAUGUUUGAUAUAUUAAUUAUAUUAAUUUCAGGCACCUUAUCGAAAUAUGUCGACAUCAGAGAACCAAUGAAGAAAAAUUAACUAACUAUUAAAAUCGCCGUAAAUAAAUUAAAUAUCCCAAGAUGAGGUGGGUGAAGAGCCAAUUCUGCCUCAGGAACCCACCACCGCCAACCCCUUCACAACUCCCUCCCUUCACAAAUAUUGUCCGUGAUGCAAAACUCCUCAGCGUUGAUUAAGUCUGUCGCAAUUAGCCUCCCAGAAGUUCCUGCAAUCCGUGUGUCCCCAAAGCUCAAUCCACCAUUCUCCGAAAUUGUCGUGAACUAUCCCAUCAAUUUUAGGAAUCCUCUCAUCCCGCUUCAACCCACAUAAUCCACAGGCAUGUGACGCCUUGAAAGCUCCGUCCUCUUCAACCGUCCCCGUCCUCACUUGCACGUUUUUAGGCAGAACGGGUACUGCGCGUUCACCAGCGGACAAAAGGAAAGAAUUCAGAUAACUGCUUCGCUUCUGCCACGCUUCAAGGACCUCGACGGCUUCUUUCUCCUCCUUCACAUUUUCGCUUUUAUUUACGCUGUUGAGUUUCAUUCCACCGGCUUUUCCAGAGUUUGCGGGGCCGAUUUUCAUGCUUUGGCUUAACACGGUGUCUCGUUGCCAACGAAGUGUACGUCCGGCUAGAAUACGUGCCAUGACCUUCAAAUCGUUUUCAAGGGAUGAAACUAGCUUCGGAUUUUUCGACCCUACUUGCUUGCACUUGACCGAUUCCUGAUAAUAUUGUUCUAGGAGCGGCGGGAAUAGAGGUAGAACGAUUGAUGGAGGGGGAAUAUUCAUAGGGCGAUGUUGGAAAGUAUUAGAUUUUGUGGGCAUCAUGGGGGUUGUCGGGGGUUGCAUAAAUACUGGCUGGUUUACUUCUGCUGUUGCUGUCUCGAGCAGGCCAACGUCCGGUCUGGAUGGUUCCAGAAUAAUUGCCGGAGUUGUAUUGGCAGUCCAGGUAGCAUCUGCGAAAUCCCCCCAGUCAUCAUCGUCCGAUUGUUCAGACUUUGACGGAGCGAUGUUACUGCCACUGCUUUCUUCGAACUUUGUCCAUGCGUUGUCCCAAUGAGAAACAUCAGCCGCGGCUACCUUGAUUGCUCUUUUAUCAUCCGUUUUAACAUUGGGGGGGAGUAAAUCCAGCAACGACUGUUGGUGAAAUUUUGCAGUUGUGCUUUCUGUUGCGCUAGAUGCCAUAUCGAGAGCAGUAUCGUUUCUAGUAUCCCAGGAUAGUAAAUUAUCAGCAUUACCACUGUUACUGUCCACUCCGGGAGAAUUUGCUGUUUCAAACUCUCCCCAUUCAUCAAUUUCAUCGUCGUUUUUUAUAUCUUCCGUGGAUGCAUCAAACAAUACAUCCGUACCGCUUUCCACCCGCCAGAGGUUUUUGCUUGAAGUAGACGCUACCUGGGCUGGCUUUAAAUCUGGCGUAGGCAUGCGGGCACAGAAACCCUGUUCACUAUUGCUUUUGUUUGCGGCGCGGGCAUCUCGUGAGGUGGAUAAGAAUGAGCCCCAAGCCCCAUUCCCCGUGUUGUUGUCUGGGUCAAAAAAUCGCGAGGCUCGAUCGUUCUCAGGAGGCGAUUUCUGAGAUGACUGGUCCCAUUGACCGGUAGCGUUCGCCUCACCGAAAGCAGCUAGAAGAUCGGCAGACAUGGCAGUGAUAUAUAAAUUAGUCGAAGAAGAUAUCAAGCUCGACUUGUCUGCGUUCCCGGG
rnacentral:sRNA from 1 species